rnacentral:rRNA from 1 species
AACCUCCGCAAUGUGAGAAAUCGCGACGGGGGGAUCCCAAGUGCCAUUCUUAACGGGAUGGCUUUUCAUUAGUGUAAAGAGCUUUUGGAAUAAGAGCUGGGCAAGACCGGUGCCAGCCGCCGCGGUAACACCGGCAGCUCUAGUGGUAACAAUUUUUAUUGGGCCUAAAGCGUCCGUAGCCGGUUUAAUAAGUCUCUGGUGAAAUCCUGUAGCUUAACUGUGGGAAUUGCUGGAGAUACUAUUAGACUUGAGACCGGGAGAGGUUAGAGGUACUCCCAGGGUAGAGGUGAAAUUCUGUAAUCCUGGGAGGACCACCUGUGGCGAAGGCGGCUAACUGGAACGAACCUGACGGUGAGGGACGAAAGCUAGGGGCGCGAACCGGAUUAGAUACCCGGGUAGUCCUAGCCAUAAACGAUGCGGACUUGGUGUUGGGAUGGCUUUGAGCCGCUCCAGUGCCGAAGGGAAGCUGUUAAGUCCGCCGCCUGGGAAGUACGGUCGCAAGACUGAAACUUAAAGGAAUU